GAGCUAGAUGGACCAAUGUCUAGCUCGGUAGAAAGCAGCUUCCUAUGCUGAGGAAGAGAUUAGAAUGGAGGCCUGCACAACAUAAGGCCCGGGGGGCAGAUCUGGCCCAAAGGGACUCUUUGCUGGCCCCAGACUGGAAGAUCUCUCAGCCUAACCUACUUCACAGGGUUGUUAUGAGGAUAAAGAUAACCCUUCACACUGCUCUGGGCUCCAUGAAGGAAGAGUGGGAUAUAAAUUUUCACAGAAAGGAAAGGAAAGGAGAACAUCAGGAUGUUGUAAGAAGAAUAAGCAACUUCUCCAAAAUAAGGAGUUUGGUGAAAAUAAAACUGAAUGGAAAAAUCAGGAGACUCACAGAAUACAUGAACUUUACUUAAAACCAGAAUAUAAGAAGCCCAGUUAGAAUGGGCCCAAAAGGAAGAAAAGUACCACCAAGACCGUGAGGAUGCCAGCAUGGCUAACAGGACACUGGAAAGCAGGAAGAGGCUCACUGCAUAUGGAGCUGGGUAGGUCCACUGCAUGUCCUCCCCCCCACCCUUUUUAUCUCCACAAAUAAGAGAGCAAAAGGCUUGUUUUGAAAACACUGACAAUUCAGGAAAGGGGCCUGUAUUAAUACAGAAUAAAUUUAUAUUACUGAUGAUGUCCCCUUGGAGCCAUUCUUCAUUACCUUUGAAUUGCUUCAUGGCACCCUCCAGAAAGGGAUUUAAAUCACAGAAGUCCCAGAUCCUCCACUUCAGCUCAAGAGGAAAAGCCACUGGAUUCUCAAACAUCUCUGCUGCUUUACAUCUGGUAAAGAGAAAGAACAUGAGCCCAUCAUUCAUCCAAUCCAGAGUUUAUGGCGCAAAAGAAUGGAAUGGGAGAGAAGGAAACAGCAGAGAGACAAAGGCAGGUAUGGGGUGGACAUGUUGUGCAGGCUUCCCCUUGCAAUGGCUGCUGGCAUCCUAAUCUAGGCAUCUGCAGACCAAACUAAUAAUCUCAUUGCUUCUCAAGUGGGCCCAGACAUGCCUACUGAAAGAAUA